rnacentral:siRNA from 1 species
UGUAGAGAGAUUUACAAGGUGUA